ensembl:piRNA 21ur-7820 ncRNA
UAUGAAAAAAAGGAACAGUUA